UACGUAGGGUGCAAGCGUUAAUCGGAAUUACUGGGCGUAAAGCGUGCGCAGGCGGUUCUGUAAGACAGAUGUGAAAUGCCCGGGCUUAACCUGGGAACUGCAUUUGUGACUGCAAAGCUAGAGUGUGUCAGAGGGGGGUAGAAUUCCACGUGUAGCAGUGAAAUGCGUAGAUAUGUGGAGGAAUACCGAUGGCGAAGGCAGCCCCCUGGGAUAACACUGACGCUCAUGCACGAAAGCGUGGGGAGCAAACAGG
rnacentral:rRNA from 1 species